rnacentral:lncRNA from 1 species
UUAUAUCAUAAGGAAUAGUAUGGGUACAUUUAAUACGUCAUAUUUAUUUGUUUUUGGACAGAUAAGAUGUUCAUGCUGUACGUUUCAAUUGGUAUUACUGCAUUUGUGGUGGUAAUAAUACUAAUUCCCAUGUCAGCUUGCCUAUUGACUAAGAAGGGGUAAGUUACUAUUUAAUUUAUUUUUGGAAGGAGUUAAGUAAAAAUUUUUUUGAUAGCUGUUUUGAUAACUUGGCAUUUUUCUCAUCAGUGGGAGGAGUCAUAGUGACCAACCAGUAACCAGUAUGCAGGACAUGAAUGCAGCCAAGUGUGCUUCCUCAGAUCCCUCAACAUUAAGGUAUUUUUAUACAGGCUGAUUUGUCUGUGAUCAUAACCUACAAUCCUUGCUGUAUUGCUAAAGCCCAAUAGCCUACAUUCAAUCUUGUGUCUUAUCAAAUGGAGAGAAUGAAUCUGAGAGUGGCCCUAACUCUAUCCACAGGAAAAAGCAGAAAGACACCAGCAGUGAAAUCAACACAAACUACUACACCAACGAUCACCUAUAUAGCAACAUGGAGGCUGAAGAGGAUGACACAUGCGAGUGUUAUGGUGGAGACGAUGCAGUCUAUGGUAACAUGUGAACACAACAUGAAGCAUGUGGGAGUCGGCUGGCUCAGAGGCCAUUGUACUCAGUCUGUCAAAGGCUCCAGUAAAAUAUUUACAUUUUAACCCAAUGUAGCAUAGCAGCCGACUGCUUAUUUGUUAGCUUUAUUGUUCGUAUGGCUAAAGAAUAUAGUACAUUCUUAUUUGUGUUGUGGCUUGUGUUAUGGCUUUUACAAGGCUUUUGUUUGUAUUUAUGGCUUGGGUAAAUCAGAAUGAACCUGAUAUGAAUGGCUAUACAGUUAUAAUUAUUGGGAAGUGUAUAUACAGUAUAUUAUUGGUUUUGUGUUGCCCCUUUCAACUGUAAUCCACUUAUGUGUAACUGACACUCAGGUCAGCACAGUGCUUCUGUGGUCCCCUUGAAUGUACAGAGAGAUACAGUAUAGUGUCAUUUGUCAAAACAGGCCAUAUUGAGAUAUAUUGUAUAUACUUGAGAUGGAGAAUACAACGAUUGUAAAGUAAAGUACCUUGAACAUCUUCUCCAGAUCAGACUGAAUAUGAACAUGUGUAAAUGUUCAACAACAGUGAUCAAAUGAAAAAUAUCUGUGUUUCAUUGCAUUUUAAUAUAGUCUGUAAUGUUUGUUUCUGAAUCUCCCAAUCUACUAAUGAGUUAUUUUUCAUCCUUUAUGUUCUUACUUGGACACUCUGAUCCACAUUGAUCUAAUGUGUGGGAAAAACAAACAUCUAUUGUUAUCAUAAAUCAACUUCAAGUACUCAAAGAAUGUAAAUGUCAAGCAGAAGAAAUUAUUAGUCACCAAUGAGCUGCUGUCUUCACUUGUCUUCCUCUUCGCAGGGGUCUUCACUGGUUAUCAAAGCCACAAAGUCAUAAACCCCAGCUAUAUCUACAAGUGAUCUAAUUAAAAUCUGCUUAUAAACCUAACUCUAACCUUAAAUUUAAAAACAAAACACAGUUUUGUUUUCAUAGAUUAUAAGGAUAUAGUCCAUUGACUUUGUGGCUGUGUAAUCUAGUUGAAACUCUUCUCAGGUCGUAGUGGCCUCCGUAAAUCAACACUUCUCCUCCUGUUGGUUCAUAGAAGGUGUUUCAUCAUAUGGUUAUGUAAAAUGGACUGAGGAUUGAUGAGCAAGAGAAGUAGAGGUCUAAAAUGUGAACAAACCUAAUGCACCACCAGUUCUCUGGUCUGCUCUAGAUUUACAUCAAAUAUUAUCAUGACGAUUUUGUUGUAGAUUUGGAUCACAAUAAAUGGUGUUGCAGUAAAAGCACAUCUAGAGAAUCUAUCCCAAAGUGAUCCCCUAUAAAGUUAUAUACUCUGAGUACAAACAGUCUAAACCAUUUACGAUAUAAACAAUACACAAGGGGAAUGUUUCUUAUUUUGUUUUUUUUACAAUACAUUCUGGAACGUUGAGGGUUUAUGACACAGCCCCACUAGUAAUUGAAUAGGAUCUCUAUGGUGAUUCUGAUCCAACCAUUAAUACAUUGUUUUGCCCCUGAGAGGAUGGAAGUUCAAUAUGUAGCUAGAUGUAGAAGGCUAAUGUUAACCAGCUAACGUUACCCAUGAAUGGAAGUUAGGCCAGCAAGCAAGCAUUUUAGCCAGGUAGCCUAGGACAACAAAAAAUGAAAGCGUGUACUGUAUGACAGAGUGAUAGAUUGUUUCGUCAACAUGAGAGGAGGAUGAUUUGGCGUUUCUCUGCAAGGAGGGUCAGUCAACAUGUUUUUCUACUUGCACGAACAUGCGCACACACACGCACACAGAAAUCAGAACCAUGGACAGCCACAUCAUAUUCUUCCCAAGUGAUUUUACCCACACCUGACAGCAAUGUCUUUAGGUCAGAACUUACCAUGCACUUGUCUUUACUCUAUUUAAAUACAUACAUUUUGCAGUAUUAAAAUUAUAUUUUACACACUGUCAAUUUUGUUUCGCCUCAUUUUUUUAGUUGGAAUUUCCCAAACCACUCCACUCUGCACAUGGAAGUCAGGCUUUCCUCUUGAUCAUAUGACUACAGUACCCAGAAUAUGAAUAUAUCAGAUAUGUUACAUAGACAGAACAUGAGAGGGAGCGAGGAUUGAUGUGAAAAGAGUAGGCCUACACAAGGCCUUUGGUCUGAUUCUCUACUGUUCUCUCCAUAGAGUACUCUCUCACUCCCCAAGAAUAUAUAGAAUAAUGAAGACACAUCCUGUGUAGGCUAAUACAUGCAACGCAUAGCCACUGAAAGAUGAAAAUAGGACACCCAUAUGGGUUUUGAUGGUGAUAGCAUCGAAGGGGCCGGCUACACUCAGGAAUAAAAUAAAGUGUUACAGCAUUUGUGUUCAGCACAUUCUUUGCUUGUAAUCUGUUAAUUACUCACGGUAACAUUUGACACUUUAUCAUCUUAAUGGUAAUGUUUAGUUGAUGCAUUCAGGCAUUAUAACCACUAUCUACUGUAUGUAUGAGGUCCUACAGCUGCGCCACUUGUUACUUCCUGACUGAGUCACUGCUCAACUUGAUUAGAAAAGCCAUACAUGACAAGCGAGGGUGGGGCGCUCUAUGUUGAACCAACACUUUCUCACCAUACACAUGUCUACUGGAAGACCAGUCAUUGUUAUAAGGUAAAGACAAUUUUAAUAAUUGUGUUAGAGAAUGAUAUACUGUGUGCAGCAUUUUUGCUUGGAACUGUUACUGUAUUUAGAAUUGGGCGUGACUAAUUAUCUUUACCAAUAUUAAGGGAUAGAUUAGUGAAAUAUUUCUACCUAGUCACAGCCAAAGAGAUCCUAUUAAAUUACUAGAGUGGCUAUGUUAUAAACCAUCAAAGUUCCAGAAUGUAUGAAAUGCCAGCCAUUGUUGACAGGGAGAAAUCCAAACCAGUCAAAUUGGAAUGAGUAGCAGUAGAGGCAUAGGUGAUGCAUUUUCUGCUUUUACUUAUGCAGGGAAAUAAAAGUAAGGCAUGUGACGUAUCACUUGGCGAUUUUAGCGAGUACAUCUUGGUUGGGCAAACAAACAAAAACAUUUGGGGGAUGAAUGCCAGCAAAGCCACAACACAACACAACACAACACUAAACAAUACAUUAAUUGCACCAUAACAAUGACAAACGGUGCCCACAAAUUGUUAGGGCCUAUAAAAAGCUGUCCCAACAGCAGAGUCCCA